AUGACGACGAUGCCGCCACCAUCACGAAUCUCUACGGCAGGCUAUGACCGUGGCUGUGGCGCGAGGAGCGACGAGCUCCGCAAGGGCAUGCCCUGGAGCGAGGAGGAGCACAGAGUCGUCUGCUUCGCAGGAUGGUGCUACACUGAUCCUCAAGACCACAAAUUUAUGCAAUUUCCUUUUUUCUUUAUCAUGUGGAUGUCAACAAAAAGGGACCCGUGGUAUAUUGUCAUGUGCCAGAUUCAAUUGUUUGCGUUGAAGUUGUUUGGAUUCACCGGGAGGAAGCGGUCAGUCGUUUUUGUCCACACCUAA
rnacentral:rRNA from 1 species